UGCAGGCUGUGGGCUAGGCAGCGGGCAGGAUUGCUGGCCAGAAGCAAGCAUCUGUGUGGAGAAAGGCAAAGGGCGGAGGAGGUUGAAGGGGAGCUACCAGGCAUGGGCUUGCUCAGCAAGGGGAGCAGAAGCCUGAAGGGCACGAGAAGGGAAUAGAGAAGGGCAUGCAGAAGGAGAGAAGCUGCGAGCAGAGUUAAGAGGCACUUGUCAGAGCAGCAAGGAGAGCAGGCAAGUGUUGAGAUUGGGAGUGAGUAGCAGGAAAAGGCAAGAGCACCAAGAAAAAGGAGGCGAGGGGCAUGCAGCUCAGGUAGGGAAAAGGAAGGGCAUGCAGCUAAGGUAGGGAAAAGGAAGGGCAUGCGGCUCAGGUAGGGAAGGGAGGGGACAGCAGCUCAGGUAGGGAAAAGGAAGGGCAUGCAGCUCAGCUAGGGA